rnacentral:rRNA from 1 species
GGGUUGUGAGGUUAAGCGACUAAGCGUACACGGUGGAUGCCCUGGCAGUCAGAGGCGAUGAAGGGCGUGCUAAUCUGCGAUAAGCGCCGGUAAGGUGAUAUGAACCGUUAUAACCGGCGAUACCCGAAUGGGGAAACCCAGUGUGACUCGUCACACUAUCAUUAACUGAAUCCAUAGGUUAAUGAGGCGAACCGGGGGAACUGAAACAUCUAAGUACCCCGAGGAAAAGAAAUCAACCGAGAUUCCCCCAGUAGCGGCGAGCGAACGGGGAGGAGCCCAGAGCCUGAAUCAGCAUGUGUGUUAGUGGAAGCGUCUGGAAAGGCGCGCGAUACAGGGUGACAGCCCCGUACACAAAAGCGCAUGUGCUGUGAGCUCGAUGAGUAGGGCGGGACACGUGGUAUCCUGUCUGAAUAUGGGGGGACCAUCCUCCAAGGCUAAAUACUCCUGACUGACCGAUAGUGAACCAGUACCGUGAGGGAAAGGCGAAAAGAACCCCGGCGAGGGGAGUGAAAAAGAACCUGAAACCGUGUACGUACAAGCAGUGGGAGCACAGNNNNNNNNNNNNNNNNGCGUACCUUUUGUAUAAUGGGUCAGCGACUUAUAUUCUGUAGCAAGGUUAACCGAAUAGGGGAGCCGGAGGGAAACCGAGUCUUAAUUGGGCGUUAAGUUGCAGGGUAUAGACCCGAAACCCGGUGAUCUAGCCAUGGGCAGGUUGAAGGUUGGGUAACACUAACUGGAGGACCGAACCGACUAAUGUUGAAAAAUUAGCGGAUGACCUGUGGCUGGGGGUGAAAGGCCAAUCAAACCGGGAGAUAGCUGGUUCUCCCCGAAAGCUAUUUAGGUAGCGCCUCGUGAAUUCAUCUCCGGGGGUAGAGCACUGUUUCGGCUAGGGGGCCAUCCCGGCUUACCAACCCGAUGCAAACUGCGAAUACCGGAGAAUGUUAUCACGGGAGACACACGGCGGGUGCUAACGUCCGUCGUGAAGAGGGAAACAACCCAGACCGCCAGCUAAGGUCCCAAAGUCAUGGUUAAGUGGGAAACGAUGUGGGAAGGCCCAGACAGCCAGGAUGUUGGCUUAGAAGCAGCCAUCAUUUAAAGAAAGCGUAAUAGCUCACUGGUCGAGUCGGCCUGCGCGGAAGAUGUAACGGGGCUAAACCAUGCACCGAAGCUGCGGCAGCGACACUGUGUGUUGUUGGGUAGGGGAGCGUUCUGUAAGCCUGCGAAGGUGGCCUGUGAGGGUUGCUGGAGGUAUCAGAAGUGCGAAUGCUGACAUAAGUAACGAUAAAGCGGGUGAAAAGCCCGCUCGCCGGAAGACCAAGGGUUCCUGUCCAACGUUAAUCGGGGCAGGGUGAGUCGACCCCUAAGGCGAGGCCGAAAGGCGUAGUCGAUGGGAAACGGGUUAAUAUUCCCGUACUUGGUGUUACUGCGAAGGGGGGACGGAGAAGGCUAUGUUGGCCGGGCGACGGUUGUCCCGGUUUAAGCGUGUAGGUGUGUGUUCCAGGUAAAUCCGGUUCACUUUAACACUGAGGCGUGACGACGAGGCACUACGGUGCUGAAGCAACAAAUGCCCUGCUUCCAGGAAAAGCCUCUAAGCAUCAGGUAACAUCAAAUCGUACCCCAAACCGACACAGGUGGUCAGGUAGAGAAUACCAAGGCGCUUGAGAGAACUCGGGUGAAGGAACUAGGCAAAAUGGUGCCGUAACUUCGGGAGAAGGCACGCUGACACGUAGGUGAAGUGAUUUACUCAUGGAGCUGAAGUCAGUCGAAGAUACCAGCUGGCUGCAACUGUUUAUUAAAAACACAGCACUGUGCAAACACGAAAGUGGACGUAUACGGUGUGACGCCUGCCCGGUGCCGGAAGGUUAAUUGAUGGGGUCAGCGCAAGCGAAGCUCCUGAUCGAAGCCCCGGUAAACGGCGGCCGUAACUAUAACGGUCCUAAGGUAGCGAAAUUCCUUGUCGGGUAAGUUCCGACCUGCACGAAUGGCGUAAUGAUGGCCAGGCUGUCUCCACCCGAGACUCAGUGAAAUUGAACUCGCUGUGAAGAUGCAGUGUACCCGCGGCAAGACGGAAAGACCCCGUGAACCUUUACUAUAGCUUGACACUGAACAUUGAGCCUUGAUGUGUAGGAUAGGUGGGAGGCUUUGAAGUGUGGACGCCAGUCUGCAUGGAGCCGACCUUGAAAUACCACCCUUUAAUGUUUGAUGUUCUAACGUGGACCCGUUACCCGGGUUGCGGACAGUGUCUGGUGGGUAGUUUGACUGGGGCGGUCUCCUCCUAAAGAGUAACGGAGGAGCACGAAGGUUGGCUAAUCCUGGUCGGACAUCAGGAGGUUAGUGCAAUGGCAUAAGCCAGCUUGACUGCGAGCGUGACGGCGCGAGCAGGUGCGAAAGCAGGUCAUAGUGAUCCGGUGGUUCUGAAUGGAAGGGCCAUCGCUCAACGGAUAAAAGGUACUCCGGGGAUAACAGGCUGAUACCGCCCAAGAGUUCAUAUCGACGGCGGUGUUUGGCACCUCGAUGUCGGCUCAUCACAUCCUGGGGCUGAAGUAGGUCCCAAGGGUAUGGCUGUUCGCCAUUUAAAGUGGUACGCGAGCUGGGUUUAGAACGUCGUGAGACAGUUCGGUCCCUAUCUGCCGUGGGCGCUGGAGAACUGAGGGGGGCUGCUCCUAGUACGAGAGGACCGGAGUGGACGCAUCACUGGUGUUCGGGUUGUCAUGCCAAUGGCACUGCCCGGUAGCUAAAUGCGGAAGAGAUAAGUGCUGAAAGCAUCUAAGCACGAAACUUGCCCCGAGAUGAGUUCUCCCUGAGACUUAAAGUCUCCUGAAGGAACGUUGAAGACGACGACGUUGAUAGGCCGGGUGUGUAAGCGCAGCGAUGCGUUGAGCUAACCGGUACUAAUGAACCGUGAGGCUUAACCUUACAACGCCGAAG